GCGUAGUCGAUGGGAACCAGGUUAAUAUUCCUGGGCCAUGGAGUGGUGACGGAUCCGGAACGUAGUUCAUCCUUAUCGGAUUGAAUGGGCUGCCAACGGGUUCCUGGAAAUAGCCCUCCUAUAAGAUCGUACCCUAAACCGACACAGGUGGACUGGUAGAGAAUACCAAGGCGCUUGAGAGAACGAUGUUGAAGGAACUCGGCAAAAUACCUCCGUAAGUUCGCGAGAAGGAGGCCCGGUUCCUAGGCAACUAGGGGCUGGGGGCACAAACCAGGGGGUGGCGACUGUUUAUUAAAAACACAGGGCUCUGCGAAGUCGUAAGACGACGUAUAGGGUCUGACGCCUGCCCGGUGCCUGAAGGUUAAAAGGAGGGGUGAGAGCUCUGAAUUGAAGCCCAGGUAAACGGCGGCCGUAACAAUAACGGUCCUAAGGUAGCGAAAUUCCUUGUCGGGUA
rnacentral:rRNA from 1 species